rnacentral:sRNA from 1 species
GUCGCGCCAGAAUGUCGGAAAGCGCAUUGAGUACAUCUCCAAGGAGCUGAAGAGCUCCACCGACACUCUGGAGAGCAUGGAGAAGGACAUGCAGAAGCAUCAGGAAACCAUGGCCAAGUACCAACAGCAAUGGCAGGUGGCGGCGGCAAUGAAGUGAAAACCCUCUACAGCCACGCACAUUUAAUUUAUAACUUAUUUUGGGACAGCUUGGUGAUAAAACUCUCCUGGCACGACCGCUUUAUCUUAAAAUGAAUAAAAACCAUGAAACCCCGAACACCUAA